rnacentral:rRNA from 1 species
UGGGGAAUAUUGCACAAUGGGCGCAAGCCUGAUGCAGCCAUGCCGCGUGUAUGAAGAAGGCCUUCGGGUUGUAAAGUACUUUCAGUCGGGAGGAAGGUGUCAAGGUUAAUAACCUUGGCAAUUGACGUUACCGACAGAAGAAGCACCGGCUAACUCCGUGCCAGCAGCCGCGGUAAUACGGAGGGUGCAAGCGUUAAUCGGAAUUACUGGGCGUAAAGCGCACGCAGGCGGUUGAUUGAGUCAGAUGUGAAAUCCCCGGGCUUAACCCGGGAAUUGCAUCUGAUACUGGUCAGCUAGAGUCUUGUAGAGGGGGGUAGAAUUCCAUGUGUAGCGGUGAAAUGCGUAGAGAUGUGGAGGAAUACCGGUGGCGAAGGCGGCCCCCUGGAAAAAGACUGACGCUCAGGUGCGAAAGCGUGGGGAGCAAACAGG